rnacentral:misc_RNA from 1 species
UCCGUUGAUGGUCAGACCAAGUGUCUAGCGGUUGACGGCGGUUUGGCUAUGAGCAAUCCAGCAUCUGCCGCAAUUACGCAAUAACAAGCAAGAGUUUCCGUUCGUGAGAGGAGUGGAAGAUUUAUUAGUACUAUCACUAGGUACUGGUCAGCUCCUUGAGGUUAGCUACGAUUAUGAGGAGGUUAAGAACUGGAGGGCCAAGCACUGGGCUCGACCCAUGUCUCGAAUUUCGGGCGAUGGUUCGGCCGAUUCAAUGGACCAAGCUAUGGCCAUGGCAUUUGGGCAGUGUAGGAGCAGUAACUACGUAAGAAUUCAGGCAAAUGGGUCCAGCUUAGGAAGGUGUGGACCCAAUGUGGACACAGACUCUGGUCCUAACAAUGUGAAGAUGUUGAUUGCCAUAGCAGAGGAAAUGUUGAAGCAGAAAAAUGUUGAAUCAGUUCUGUU